ACGAGUUCGGAACUGGAUCAGCUCUCGGUUCCCAAAAACUACUUACUGGAGACACUCAUGAAAAUUGCUUAAUCAUAUAAACUAUAUUCAUACUUUGUUCUUAAUAAAAAAAAAAAUGCGAGUAAAGUCGCACAGCCUCAUAUUUUGCGGGCUCAUCUUCGUGUAUUAAUGUUGAAGCCGGAGAAUUUCGUCAAUCAAGCUACGAGAAGUCUUCAACGAGUUAAGCAUCACCGAGGACGGCAAUGAUCUUGAAGGGGGAACAGUUAACAAGGAAGUUAACAAGCUAUCCUCCCACGAACUUAUCAAGCAACCCGUGCGCCCGAAAUGCUCACGAGUCAGAUUACCCACUCAACUUUCUGAGAGCGAGCGUUGGGGAUCAACAGCCAGAAGUAGGCUGCUGUCGCAACGCUGCACUAUCACUAUGAUUAUGCUGAGUCGGCUUGAUGACCACGAACCCGGGGCAUGUCCCAAGAACAACUUCUUCAAAUAUACUGAUCCGGCACUUGCCGUCAUCAACACAUUA